AGAUGCGAUCAUACUAACAAUAAUGUAAUGGAUCAUAUCAAAACUCGGAAGUAAAGUGUGCUUAGGCGAUCAUAGUACUAGGGUGUGAACUUCAUGGAGAGUCCUCAUGUCGCAUCUU
rnacentral:rRNA from 1 species